rnacentral:rRNA from 1 species
AUUGAACGCUGGCGGCAUGCUUUACACAUGCAAGUCGAACGGCAGCGCGGGCUUCGGCCUGGCGGCGAGUGGCGAACGGGUGAGUAAUGCAUCGGAACGUGCCCAGUAGUGGGGGAUAGCCCGGCGAAAGCCGGAUUAAUACCGCAUACGACCUGAGGGUGAAAGCGGGGGACCGAAAGGCCUCGCGCUAUUGGAGCGGCCGAUGUCGGAUUAGCUAGUUGGUGGGGUAAAGGCUUACCAAGGCGACGAUCCGUAGCUGGUCUGAGAGGACGACCAGCCAAAAUGGGAAUGAGAAAAGGGCCAGAACUCCACGGGAGGGAGCAGGGGGGAAAUUUGGGAAAUGGGGGCAACCCUGAUCCAGCCAUGCCGCGUGCGGGAAGAAGGCCUUCGGGUUGUAAACCGCUUUUGUUCGGGAAGAAAUCCUCUGGGCUAAUACCCCGGGGGGAUGACGGUACCGGAAGAAUAAGCACCGGCUAACUACGUGC